AUCAGCACCUGGCAUUGGCAGGGAAUAGGAACCCUCACACCUGGUGGACAUGGCCAUCAGCACCCAGCCUUGCCAGAGACAGGAAAGCUCCUCACGCUUGGCCCUUGCAGCAAUGAGCACCAAUACCCCAGCUGCAGGGUGUGGUGGGAUUCUAUAAACACUGCACACUGUGCUCCAGGCCCUAUGCUCCAUAUGGGAGAGGCUGUUAUGGGUUCUCCACAUCCCCAUGGAUGUCACUGGCCAGGGGACCCUCUCCCAGGACAUGGUGCUCAAAAAUGCACAGCCCCAAAAUGGUGCUGGGUGUCCUGAGUAAACCAGAUGGCUUGACUGGUUUGGGGUUUUUGGUGCUCUAUCCUGAAGCCCCAAUAAGAUGGGAAAUACCUCUGAGUGUUGUGUAACUGGUUGUACUGGACCUUGUAGGCUGUGGUGCUCCUAUUUGCUUGGGAUAAACCACACUCCUUGGAACAAGUCCAUGUCAGGAACAAAGAAGCUGAUGUUCGUCUUUAUCUGUUGAUCAGAAGCCUAGACUUCUGCCUCAUCUGACACCAGUGAAAGCAGCUGUUCUCUGGUGACAAUUUCCUCUAACGCCUUUUAAUCCUAGCUAUUAUCCCAGGGUUCCCAGUGCUGUUGUCAGGCUGCAGGAUUUGGGGAGGUUUGCUCAGCCAAGGUGGGACUUGCUGUGCGAGGCUGGUGGUGCCUCUCUGGCAGGACAUGCUCGGGCCCAUUGCCAUCGUGUCCCUUCAUGAACAGUUUCAUGUCACACUGUGUUAGCAUCAGCAACGCUGGGGAUGAUGUCAAGUGGUAAAUAAAGAGCAAAUGAAAGCCUGCAGCACAAAGAAACUAAUUUGGAGCAUCCUGGAAAUAUCCUCUCCAGGAUCCUGUCUAAGGCCAGUAUUCCCCAAAGCUGCAGAAUUCCUAUUCCUACUUCUAUUCCUUAUUCCUAUUCCUAGCACCUAUUUCCCACUGCAGUUUAUGCACUUGGGGAGGUGCCAGUGAACACCUUGGGGAGAGGGAAGAAAAAGAGAAAACGAAGCACAACCCCCCAUGACUAAUCCAUGUCUGGGUUUUUCCUUUUUGUAAGGAGACCGUGCCAAGCAGAACUGGAGCAUUUUGGAGCAGUGCUUUGAGCUUUUUGCCUACCACAGGUUUUUCCAGGGAGCAGCAAGAGUUUCUGUGAAGUUUCCCUGCACUUGGUGACCCAAAUCUCUACACUUCCGACUUCCUUCCAGAUUUGGGAGCACAAAGAGAGAGUCUGACCCCAGCAGGUCAUCAGGAGUUCUGCCUUGGAUUAGGGUGAAGAUUGGCAUUUUCCUAAUGGACAAGAUUUCACUUGUUCUGCACAACGUUAAAUCCAAGCAUCCUUUUCCUGGUGAUUGCAGAAUGUCCACUGGGAGCUCUUAGCAAUUUUCAGCUCCCUGUGAUGCUGCUGCCUGCCCAGUGCAAGUCAAGGAAGAGACAUUGCACUUGGUCCAGGUCGAGACUGAUCGUGUUAAAGGAUUUAAAUUUCAGUUUCUGGAAGCAUGAGCUGCUUUCAUUAAUGUUUUGGGCAACAACUGGAGUGUUGGCCUGGGGAGGGAGAGCUGGUCAGAAAAUGAAUGGAUUUUUCUCAGCUAAAUGGGAAGCAGCAAAGAGUGGAUGUAUGUGACAGCAAAUACAAUGAGUGCACAGUCCUGUAAGUGUUCCCCUCAGGGUCCCUCGUGGAGUGCAGUGUGAGCCCAAAGCUAUGGGAUAUACAUUGUUCCCCUAGACUUCCUAAAAGGGGACAUUCACCCAGCUCCAGACAUUCCAGCUGUGUCCAUGGCUGUUUUGUGAUGCUCCUCAUGCCCAAGGGUGCCCAUGACUACGCUGUAGUGGUUCAAAAGCUCAGGCACAGGGAGGCAUUUGCAGGAAUUCAGUCUGGAAUUGCAUGUGCCUCCUUCUCCUGGAGAGUCUGGCUUUGCUUCCAACAGAACAGCUCAACCCAUUACACUCCCCAAAUCCAAGACAAUUACUUCUCUUUAGUAAGUUUUCUAAAAUACUUCAAUGGAGAAAAUUAAUGCUUCAGAAAAAUUUUAUGGACCAACUUUAGUGGUUGAAAACAGAAGCUCUUUUACCACAUUAGCCAUAGUAGAUGUUGUUUGUCUCAGUCUAAUAUAUGGAUGUGGUGUUUAAUUUAACUGGAGCAGAGCUACAGGGCUUUAUAAUUUUAGUUCUUGUGCUGAGGGUGCCUGGUGUAACUCCCUGAGGCUCAGGAGGGAAUGGCACUUGGGCUUGGAUAGUUUCUUUCCCAACUCAGUUUUUAAGAUGACAAGGUGGGGAUGAAGAAGUGCAAGCACCAAUGCAUCCUUCUGCCCUUCAGGUAUUUCAGAAGAUGUUCUGCCUUUAAAGAAGCUGAUUUGGCCCCUUGUUAAAUAACAAGCUGUGGGACCUGACCAGCAAGUCCUGGGGAGGAGAAAGUAACUCCUUUGGUUUAAAAGGCCAGUAAUUUGUAGUUGUACUUAGGAAAAUGCUUUAAGCAAAAUAAUAAUCUAGAGAUCUGCUGCAAGUGGAGACACUCCCCAUAUCCACUCCUGUUCUUUUAUUUUACCAUUAGGAAAACAUCCUGUUGCCAGUACACAUUUUGUUGCUCCAUCUCACAGCCAUUUGCUAACAUUGUAAUUUUUCCUAAACCAAGAGUAAACCCUGUGUUGGACCACAUGAGAUCCAUGAAGGUUGGACCUGAUGAUCUUGGAGGUCUCUCCAACCUCAGUGAUUCUGUGAUGUGAAGGAGCAACCAAAGUCCCCGUGUGCAGGAUGGAACAUGUGGAGGAUCCAGGGGCAGGGAAGGAGCCUUGCUGGGGAUCUCAUCCAGUCCCUGGAGAUUUUCCUCUUUUUCUCUGUUAUUUGCAUAUUUCAUAGCAUCCAUCAUCACCUCCACACAGGGCAGAGGAGACACAGAGAACCCAAAGGUUUUGGCACUUGGCUCCUUGUUUUUUCCUGCCUGUCUUUUCCAGCCUUCCCCAAGGAUUAUAUUGUAGGACCCCAGUUGUGGCCUUUCUGCUCGUGGUGCUCCACAAGGCAGAAGAUCCAACACGCUCCCUGAGGCUUUCAGCACCACUCUGAGGUUUCAGACCAGAUUGGGCACAUUACACAAAUCUCUUUACUAUGGAACUGACAGAUUGUGUUUUCAUGGUGAGUGUUUUCACAAGAAACACCCCAAAAUCCAGGCUCAGCACGAGACACCUGAGCAGUCUGUACACUCCCUUUCCCACAGUAACCUGUUAAUGUGCUUCAUGUGCAAUUCAGGUUACUCAUAAAUAAUUCUCUCUGCAAAUCAGACACAUAUAAAUUAUUCUCUGUAAUUGAAAAUUACCUAUGAAUUAUUCUGUUUGUAAUUCAUAGAUAUGUCAUUUAUUCUCUAAUAUAUUGACAUUGCUUUCUUGGAUAGAUAUGCCUGGGGCUGACAGUAACAGGAUGAUUUCCAAAGGCCAGGGCAAUAUCAUACAGUGUGAGCUCAUUUGGGAUAUUCUGACAAGAUAGGGAUGGUCUUGUGUGAAGAAAUUCCAUGUACAGGUCCAGAAAGGGCACUCAGUGCAUUAUGAAGUUAUUUGGUAUUGUAUAGAAUUUGACCCUAACAUUGCAAAGAUUGUAUAAUUUUUAAGGUCUUUCUAAAGUUAUUUAUUUUAUAAGCUAACUUGUAAGUAACUUCUAGUUCUGACUCUUCCAAAGGCACUGCAGAUGCACAGAAGGAGAUUCCCUCUGUUCCCUUCCCCUCUCAGCUCUUGUGAAGUAAUUGGAGGCAAACUGACUUUACCUGGCUCUUUGUGUGUCAGAGGGACAUUAGCAGGGUCUCUUAACACUGAUUAAUUACCUUUGGUAGGUGCUGUACUGUAAACAAGCAGUGAUAGUGCAGAAAAUUCAUCGCCAGUCAACAGAAAUGGAAAGCCCAGAGCAAACAUAAUGAGCGAUAACUAAUUAUCAACACAUGCUCCAGUUACUUAAUAGCUCUUUCCCUGAGAUUUGCACUGGGUGUCUGCUACUGCAGACACCCAGCUUCUCCUUUUCAGUGCUUCCCAGUAUUGCACCCAUGACAGCCUGAAAGCAAUUUUCUCAAUUUAUUUGUUUACAGGUAUAGAAAGAGAUUUUUCUUGACUGAGAGGCUCUGCUCAAAUAAAAUUCUCACUGGUCCAGCUCCUUCCUCACGGAGCUCAACACAGAGCCAGGCUUUGCCUGCUGAGUAGGCUCAGCUCCUGGGGUCACACCAAAUCUCUCUGCCCAGGCUCAGACUGGUUUUGAGAUACUCAGCAGUUUUCAGAACCAAUCCCCUCUGCUCACAGAGAAAAUCCACUCUGGACCUGCUCAGCCCUCUGCUUGCACCCCCAUGGAGCUCUGGCAUCCUCUGUCCAGUUGGCAUUAAGUGGCCACAGAGCACUGAGUCAGAUCUGUGAGUGUUCCAGCCCAGAAACUCAGAAAAAGCAUUCUGGCCUCACGUAGUGCCAGAUCCCAAUAAUAUUUGUGUGUAAUGUCUCUAGAAUAUGUCUGUGGCUCAGAAACAGAUGGUCUUGGGAAGAGUCAUUCCUGGUGCUGUGGAAAGCUUCAGGGAUUCACACGUGCAGUUCCCAGGAGGAGAAGCUGCCUGUCCUAUUGGAGCUGUGAUUGAUGUGUUUCUGCUGCAAGACUCAGCCCUGGAAGUUUGUCCUCCCAGGAAUCUGCCUCAUUAAUUAACUUGGACUGCUGGACAACUUAGAUGGACAACUCCACAAUAUGCAAAAAAGGUUUGCAAGGUGAAAGACAAGACUUGUAAAGGUCAUUAAAUACCUAAGAUGGAG